rnacentral:rRNA from 1 species
CCUUAGAGUUUGAUCCUGGCUCAGGAUGAACUUUAGCGAUAGGCCUAACACAUGCAAGUCGAGGGGUAACAGGGUAGCAAUACCGCUGACGACCGGCAAAUGGGUGAGUAACGCGUAUGCAACCUACCGAUAACAGUUGGAUAGCUCCCUGAAAGGGGAAUUAAACUGGCAUGAUACUAUUUAAUCGCCUGUUUAGAUAGUUAAAUAUUUAUAGGUUAUCGAUGGGCAUGCGUGACAUUAGCAAGUUGGUGAGGUAACGGCUCACCAAUGCUACGAUGUCUAGGGGUUCUGAGAGGAAGGUCCCCCACACUGGUACUGAGACACGGACCAGACUCCUACGGGAGGCAGCAGUGAGGAAUAUUGGUCAAUGGACGGAAGUCUGAACCAGCCACUUCGCGUGCAGGAUGACUGCCCUAUGGGUUGUAAACUGCUUUUAUAUAAGAGGAACAGUAUUUAUGUAUAGAUAUUUGCCAGUAUUAUAUGAAUAAGGAUCGGCUAACUCCGUGCCAGCAGCCGCGGUAAUACGGAGGAUCCGAGCGUUAUCCGGAUUUAUUGGGUUUAAAGGGUGAGUAGGCGGUAGUAUAAGUCAGCGGUGAAAACUUGCAGCUCAACUGUAAGCUUGCCGUUGAAACUGUAUUACUUGAGUUAAGUUGAGGUAUGCGGAAUGUGGUGUGUAGCGGUGAAAUGCAUAGAUAUACCACAGAACGUCGAUUGCGAAGGCAGCAUACUAAGUUUAUACUGACGCUGAUGCACGAAAGCGUGGGGAUCAAAAAGGAUUAGAUACCCUGGUAGUCCACGCCGUAAACUCUUAAAAGGGCGUUGUUUGCGAUAUAACUGUAAGCGACUGCGCGAAAGCAUUAAGUAAUCCACCUGGAGAGUACGUUGGCAACAAUGAAACUCAAAGGAAUUGACGGGGGCCCGCACAAGCGGAGGAACAUGUGGUUUAAUUCGAUGAUACGCGAGGAACCUUACCUGGGCUUAAAUGGGAAGUGACAGUUUUGGAAACAAAAUUUUCUUCGGACACUUUUCAAGGUGCUGCAUGGUUGUCGUCAGCUCGUGCCGUGAGGUGUCGGGUUAAGUCCCAUAACGAGCGCAACCCUUGUCGAUAGUUGCCAGCAUGUAAUGAUGGGGACUCUAUCGAGACUGCCGGUGUAAACCGUGAGGAAGGUGGGGAUGACGUCAAAUCAGCACGGCCCUUACGUCCAGGGCUACACACGUGUUACAAUGGUCGGUACAAUGGGCAGCUACUCAGCGAUGAGAUGCUAAUCUUCAAAACCGAUCUCAGUUCGGAUCGGAGUCUGCAACUCGACUCCGUGAAGCUGGAUUCGCUAGUAAUCGCAUAUCAGCCAUGAUGCGGUGAAUACGUUCCCGGGCCUUGUACUAACGGCCCGUCAAG